ensembl:lncRNA
CGAAACUCAUUGAUAUUGUUGUGUGCGUUUAAGUGUGCAAGGGUGUACGUAUGUGCCAUUCCAAUUGAUUAUCCCCCAAAAUCUGCUGCAACUUAACAACAAUCAACAGAGAAAGUGCAGGGUGUUCCACUCUCAAGACCCUCCACAAUACAAACAUUUCCACAAGAAGCACCUAGUGUGGGAAGUCAGAUUAGCCAGCGUUUCCCAACAGCGCGUUACACAACACACAGGCUAAACAAAGUCCUCAAAAAUUGAGGGUUUUAGCACCUCCUCUCGGUGUACGACCCCCUUGGGAGUACGGCAGAAUGAAUCCCAGACUGCCGGAUAGCUGGACUAUCUCGCUGACCUGCUGGGAGACCAGCUACUUCAACCUGGAGCCUAGGCACACUAUGCUAUACAGCCACAUCCUGGCCAUAAAUCAGGGGCGAGCGUGAACUUCCCUGGAAUGCUUGUCUCGUUGCCAGAGGAUUGUCUGUGAGUCCAGGCAAGGUCCAGUCCUCCUCAGCCGAACGCCUCCUCUCUGGGCUGCCAUCUCCCCGGCAGAUGCACCUCAGAUAACGCCGUUCUUACGAGAUCUCUUGACAAGAUUACAAGUGACGGACUUGCUCCCAAGCUGCACUUUGUGGUCUUGUAUGUGUGUGUGUGUGUUUGUGUUUGUGUUUGAGUGUGUCUGUUUGUGUUUAUGUUUGUGUGUGUGUGUGUGUGUGUGUGUGUGUGUGUGUGUGUGUGUGUGUGUGUGUGUGUGUGUGUGUGUGUGUGUGUGUGUGUGUGUGUGUGUGUGUACGUGUGUGUGGUUGUUUUGUGUGUGUGUUUGUGUGUGUGUGUCGGUGUGUGGUUGCAUGGGGAAUAUACAUAAUAUAUGUUCAGGAGUGGUUGUGCGUGGCGCGCAUGCUCGUGUCUUUGUGUCUUGCAUGUGCAUGUGCAGGUUUCUCUGCAAAUUGUCCUAGGUUAUACACACACUACAUCGUAGCCUCCGGUGAGUACGCCAGCCACUCCGAGCCCCCAUUCUCACUUCAACAUGCAGUGUUGCACACGUCGCCCUGGACCGCUGACCCAGCCGGAGAGGGGCGGACUUGGGUGGGCUCCCAGAAACACCGGCCUUAAUUUGACGUGAGCUGAUUUGGAGGAUUUUCAGUGUUAUUCUUUCUACUCGGACGUGUGGACCCACAGAUGUGAGAUGUUGGGUUAUGACGGGGGUGGGGGAGAGGUGUAGGCUUCCAGGAGAGGUAUUAGGAGCCGAGAGAGGAGAGAAAACUCAUUUGAUCGUGACUGGAUGGAUGGAUGGAUAGGAGAGAAGAAGAGGGAGCGAGAGAGAGAGCGAAAGUGGGAGAGAAAGUUGGAGAGAGAGAGAGAAA